GUAAGGAUGAUGUUGCUAAAGAACUCAUCAAGGGAGGAUCCGAUCUUACUUCUAAAAACAAUAUUGAAGAGACACCUCUUCAAACAGCUGCUGCGCUGGGCAACUUAAAGAUCGUUCAAUUUCUUGUCGAGAAGGGCGCCAGUGUUACUAUAACAAACAAAUUUGGGCAGACACCGUAUAAGAUAGCUGCUGAGUAUGGUGAUGAAGAGCACAAGAAGAUUGCUGCCUAUCUUAAAACCAAACUUUAACCAUUGCUGCUGUUAACAUUGUGUCAAAAAGUACCUCAAGUUAUUUGUCUUUUAAAUUGCUUACUGGUAUAGAUAUUGAGUAGAAUAUUUUUCUUCCUGGAUUUGUGCAACUUAUAUGUGUGAGUGAUACGCCGUAAGAAACCAACGGCGAUGUUGGUUUUUGUACUUAAAUCAAAUGAAAAUUGCACACUCCGUUGAAUCAAUGCAGUUUCAAAUUGAAUGUUGGUUAAGGUUGUGCCAAUCCAGAGAAAGAAUACUUUACCCAAAACCUAAGCCACAAGCAAUUUGCAUGAAAAUGCCAAGUACUUUUCUUUGACAGAAUGUAAAUAAAUCAAACACAGUAAAUCAUAAAAAUAAAUCAAAAUUUCGAUCAGUUCUGAAGUGACUCUUGUUCACUUUCAAG